GGGAUACACUCCUCCAAUCAGAGGCAUACGGAGACAAUAAAAUUUUUUUAAGAUGGGGAUUUUACCAGUCAGGCUCCUGGCUAGAAACCAGCUACCAGCUGGUACCUGAUCUAGCCAUAGCCUGACAGUAAACGGGUCUAGAAAAGGAAUACAGCAGCUAACAUUUGCAGGAGACAGAGCCAAUUGAGACUUAGCAUAGGCGGAAAUAUGCUGAGAUUCCUCCUCCUCCUGCCUGCAGUCAGCGGCUCCUGUUUACUGUUCAUGGAAUGUAUUCCUGCUCCUUAAGCCAUGCUUAUGCUUUAAGAUUUGUCAUCUCUGCCUCAGUCUUAGAGUCCGACAUCAUCUGCAAGCAGGAUGAUACAUUGUGGGAAUCAUUUUCUGACAGAGACCAGGAAAACAAGCCUGGAACAGAGCAGAUGGCACAGAAUUUCUAUGGAUAUUUAUCACAUCAUUGAGAGAAUUCAUUGCCUUGGAGCUUUGUGAGACCAGGCAAAAGUGAUCCAAGAGUUGGUCAUGUGUGAAUGAGAAGAGUAGCUCAAUAAAGGAGUAGGAUCAUCCUAAAUAAUUUCUCACUUAUGCUUAUCAGAAGCAUGUGGGAGUUAACAUGAAAGGGAAGCUAAGGAAAGAGCUGAAUAACGAAUAGCUUCGUGUUCAUCUUUAAGAAAGUCCCAGAAAGCAGUGACCUAGCAGCCAUUCAGAGACCUGCUAACCACCAGGGUCUCAGAUUCAACACUGAAGCCAUGUUUCCUCUCAAGAUCAUGUCACGCUCCCACCAGAUGUCAACCACCACACUCUGCUGAUGGCUGAAGAGCACAAUCAAGGAAGUGUUUGGACAAGUUAUGCAAUCUUAGAAAAACCUGGUCAGUAAAUAGGAAUAUUAAGCAUGGGAACUGAGGUGGAGGAAUUUCAGCACCUAUAAAGGAACAAGAUGAAGAUCCUACCCUGUAACAAGUGUGUGCAAUCCUGUAGCUUAUCAUGAUGUGACAGCUGAAUAACCUCAAUAGCUGAAUGAACUUCUUGGAAGAAUUUGCAGAAGGCAUGGACAUGGAAAUAGUCAAGGUUGAAUGUUUUUUUCCUCCAUUUUAAUUGUGAACCCCACAUUCAAAUGGAUGCUCACUCAACAUAAAAUAACAGUAAUUCAUUAUGUCAUUCCAACAGUUGUCUGUGAUAAUCUGAAAUUUUUGAGGCACCAAUCAUUAGAUAGAGAACAAAUCAAUUUUCUUACUUACAGAAAUAUUAUUUGAAAGGUUUUAUUAAUCUGGACAAUUCUAUAACCAGAACUUCACAGUUUUACAGGUAAAAUUAGCUAAAAAAAGAGAAAAAUGUUUUGUUUCAUUAAUGAAACUAUAUUUUCGUAUCAAUAGAGAUUAUAUUUUAGCAAAAAAGCUAUAGCAAUGUGACUAUAAUUAAAUAUUCUAACACAUGCUUGUUGAAAUUCUGUUUAUAAUUCCCUUUAAGACAGAACAUCAAUAUCAUGGCAUUUAUAGGGGCUGUCAUAGAUUAGAAAUGAAAUUCUUCACCAUUAAAGCAGUCUAUCAGCACAGAUGAUGUCAGUGCGCAGAAAAUGAUAGAUAAGUGAACAGCACAAUUUUCCCAGAGUUGGACAUAAAGGAAAACUAAAAAAAAUCUGAAUUGCAAUUUUAAAAGUUCUUCUAUUUUAAUUGUAAAUAAUGGUCUCUAUUUAUAUCUAUAAAUACAUAUUAUAGCACAAAUAUAUAAAAAUUGCUGAGAAAUAUAUGUGGUUCAGUGGUAAGUUUUCUCAGCAAUUAAGAACAUUUCUUCCUUUUCCACAUAUCCACAGUAUUAAUCCUCAUACCCCAACUACAGCAAACUGCUGUCUCCAUUUCUGGUACUACUGUAUCUGAUUCCCCCUUAAACCUUCUAUGCACAAAAGCCACAGACUUACAUGAUGCAGAAGAAUAUAUGCACAUGAAAUAAACACUGAAAAGUUGGCUUAUGCAAGUCUCAAGCAAGUUUAAUAUCUUACUUGACCAGUGGCUGUUUUUUAUUACACAAAAAGUGAAGACUCUAGAAUUCAUGCAAAUGGCAUAGUUUUGAUAUGUUCAGAGUGUAAUUUAGGUAAAGAUACAGAUUAUUUCACUAUAUUUUCCAGUUCUCAAAAGAUGUCUUUACAUAGCCUUUACUACCACUUCCUAAGCCCAAUUCUGAAACUAUAUUUACAUCCCUCAAUCACAAAACAAAAUUAUGCAUAACAUAAUUCAGCCCUCUAUUUCAGUUGGUAGAAUAGUUUCUUUGUAUGCAGAACUAUUAGGUAACUGUUAUGUCUAAACUGUCGAGAGGAAGGUUGUUCAUAGAACUGAGAAACACAAAUCCCUUUGGCGAAUCAGCCAACUCAGCAAAUUUCUAGUUUCAUAAAUUACCUCUGAGUGAGAAACAUAGUCUGUAGUGGAAUUGCCUUUACAUUUUUUAUGGAGCUGUAGGUAUGCAUUUCAGAAUUUUCUCCCACACUCCUGUGGGCUUUGGGCAAUACAUCUGUUUUUGCACCACACAUGCUUACUCAUGGUUCUGUAUGUAACAUCAUUAAAUAAUUGUAUUUUACAGGAAGUUAUUAAUAUUUGGCUUUUAAUCCAUGUCCUUUCUGGGUAAAACUGACCUUUACAUAUGUCAUUCCAGGAAAAGACACACAGGAGGAAAGUAUACCUGUAUAUACGUGAAGAAAAUUUCCUUACCAGUGGUCAAUGAAGUUUAAAAUUGCAGUUAAUAGGGAUUAUAUUUAGGUUUAUUCACUUCUUGUGCUUUAGCUGUAGGUCAGGUAAGGUUGAAAUUUUACACUCAUAUGAUCCUUUUGAUGCAGACUCCUGUGACCAGUGAUCACCAGAGCUUAUGUCCAUAUAUGCUCAGGUAUGGUUUACAUUUUUCAAUAUAUUUUUGAGUUAACAUUUUGAAUAUUGUUUUUUUUCUGAAACACAACUUAAUAAUUAUUUGAUCUUAUGAGUUGCAGAAUUGCCAUAAUCUUUUGUUUUAUUUUUAGAAAGAAUUUUGUGGGUUCCUUACUAUUUAUAUACCCACAGGUUAUGUUAUUUUCCCAAAGGUAUAAUUAUUUGUUUAUCAUAUCAAGGGACUAUACUAAAUACAUGAUUCUUUAUGUUAUUUCCUCAUCUAAUAAACCUGACAGUUUCUUUGAAACAAAAUUAAAUAAUAAUAUGGAGGGAAUGAGCAUCUUUUAAAAAUUAUAUUCUAUGUGUAUAGUAGAACUUAUCAAUACUGUUAUUUUAAUCCUGAAAGAAUGUGACUCUUAAUUGUUUAAUUUUGUUUCUCUUUUUUUUUUUGCUUUGAUUUAACAUUGUAUUUGGAAGACAUUUUUUUUAUUCCUUUAUUCAUUAUUGAUUUAACUUUAUGUGUGUGAUUACUUUUCUCCCAUAAAUGUCUUUGAAUGCCUGCUUGUCUUGUUUCUUUUAAUGGUCAGAAAAUGUUGUAGGAUUUCCUGCCUUGGAGUUACAGACAUUUGUGAGGUAAUGUGUAGUUCCUAGAAAUCAAAGUAGUGUAUUCUAGAAGACCAGGCAGUGUUUGUAAGUGUUGAGCUGUCCAUCCUGACAUUUUCGCUUAUUGUUCUUUUCCCUUGAUCUUACAUCAUAUUUGUCUGCCAUUUUCUGUAAUGGAUAUAUAUAUAUAUAU
ensembl:lncRNA